GAGGAGGGAGAAGGAGGAUGGAGAUUUUGGCGCAGGCGCAUGGAGCCUCCUCCUGGCCCGCUGGACAGCGGCCACCUGACUGUUGGGCAAGGUCCGGAGACGGGUUGGGGCACUGGAGCCCCCAAGAGAAUCUGCUGGACCCAAACCGUUCCAGGUCACCAGGAUGGAGCCAGCACCCACCCCAAGGACAGGCACCUGGUGGAAGUCCUAGCUGCACUUCCUGCUGUACCCCACCCUAUGCCCCAGAGCCAAAGGCCAGUCCCCUUUCCGGCUCCUCUGCAACUCAAGGUGGGAGAUGAGCCCCCAAACACACAAGGACAUGAGGAAUCUGCAACCCAUCAAGCACCACAAGCUCAGCACUGGGCCCACUCCAUCUUUUUACCAUAACAUUUUUAUUAAAUAAAAGGAAAAUAUUAGGAGACGACGUCUGCUAAGGUAUGAGGUUAAUUCUUUACAUGGCAAGUGGGUCACAGAGACACGACAUCAAUCGUCCAUUAGCAGCAGAGGAGACACUUUAAGUUGCCCCAAGGGUAAAAAUUGCAUUUAUAAGACAGCAGUGCUGGCCUCUUAAAAAAAAAAA